GCUGGGAUGGCCGAGUCGUUAAGGCGAGUGAUUUGAAAUCACUUGGUGUUUCACCGCGUAGGUUCAAAUCCUGCUCCCAGCG
rnacentral:tRNA from 1 species